rnacentral:rRNA from 1 species
AUUGAACGCUGGCGGCAGGCCUAACACAUGCAAGUCGAACGGUAACAGGAAGCAGCUUGCUGCUUUGCUGACGAGUGGCGGACGUGUGAGUAAUGUCUGGGAAACUGCCCGAUGUAGGGGGUUACCUACUGGAAACGGUAGCUAAUACCGCAUAACGUCGCAAGACCAAAGAGGGGGACCUUAGGGCCUCUUGCCAUCGGAUGUUCCCCGAUGGGCUUAGCUAGUAGGUGGGGUAACGGCUCACCUAGGCGACGAUCCCUAGCUGGUCUGAGAGGAUGACCAGCCACACUGGAACUGAGACACGGUCCAGACUCCUACGGGAGGCAGCAGUGGGGAAUAUUGCACAAUGGGCGCAAGCCUGAUGCAGCCAGGCCGCGUGUAUGAAGAAGGCCUUCGGGUUGUAAAGUACUUUCAGCGGGGAGGAAGGGAGUAAAGUUAAUACCUGUGCUCAUUGACGGUACCCGCAGAAGAAGCACCGGCUAACUCCGUG